GAAAGCAACGCGUCCCUUCUUGUGAGAAGCCACACUUCAACGCCACGAGGCAGCUUCGAGGUCACUUUCUUGAACGAGUCAAUAAGAUGAGCCGCCGAGCCAGUCAAAUAAUCCCCUAAUGAUAUUUUUUUUCUUCGUAUGGAUUCGAUUUUCUCUUGUCUUCGACGAAAUAGUGCAGCCUCCUCCGCGUUUCUUAAUUGCCUCGAAGUUUCUUUCCUAACGUUCAUAUAAAUCCCUCGCAAACCUCUUUAUGCGUCUCAUAUCUUCUCGUCUUCUAGCUUUGUCACAUAUCCCCUCCGAGUUCCCUCCCCCAGCUCCGUUUUUGUUUGUUCUUCUUCUUUUAUACUAGUGUGAGAUCAUUAUCAGUUCUGAAGAUGAGUUCCAUGAGAUUGCAUGCUCUUCCCAUCAUUGGCUUCAUGUUCUUGGCACUCUUGGAGUUUGGUUUCGGUCAAGGCACGGCUCCUUCCCCUGCAGAAGGCCCAACUAAUGAUGGCAAGACGAUUGAUCAAGGAAUUGCUUACAUCCUUCUCAUGCUGGCUCUUGCAAUCACAUAUCUCUUCCAUUGAUGUAUUUUCUCUUAGACCAGUUUAAUGUAUUCAAAUUCUUUAUGUACUCUCUCCUCAUAUUCCUCUGGAGAAAUUGCAGCGAUUGUUUUAUCUAUUCAUCUCCUUGUAAUAUAUGCUAUGCUGCUUGAGCACUGAUCAGAGAAGAUAAUUUUGGGGAAAUUUGAUUUGCCUCCCUCGAGUUUA